rnacentral:lncRNA from 1 species
CACUGAGUAAGGCCAGGGAUGGAACCCACAACCUCAUGGUUCCUAGUUAGAUUCGUUAACCACUGCACCAUGACAAGAACUCCCAAUCCCAGAGGAUUCUAUGGGAACAUUCAAAUUUGAGCAGCACCCUCCCCCACCCCCCAAGGCAGAUCUUCCUGUGACUGACCCUAAACUCUGCUCAGCAGCCUUCAGCCCUGGCUAGAAUCACCUACGGUGCUUUAAAACAUACCAGUGUCCAGCCUCCAGCCCCAGGGCUUCUCCUGAGCAUAAACUUACUGGGCUACCUUAGCUCCUCUGCCCAAAACAGUCACUGAUUUUGAGUCUCAGAUCCUGGUCUAAUGAGCUGUGUGACUUUGAGCACGUCAUCUGUGGCUCGCUGUCCUCAUCUUUAAAAUUACGAAGAGGGGUCCCUCCCCCAACUCCGUCCCCAGCUAUGAAGCACCUGUCCUCUGAGAGCCCCCCACUAAUCCAGGUUCCCCCCAAAGGGAAAGAAUUUUCAAGCAGAAAUCUGCUUUGCUGUUUGUUUAUGAGUUUGGGGUCUUGCUUUCUGUAUCUGGAGUCCUCAGGGAGACCUAAGAUUCUGCCCAAGCUCCAGCAUCAGACUGGGAGAGGGGCAGGGCCAUGAGAUCUGAGGCAGAGGCUGCGGAACCAGCAUCCCGGCCCCACAGGCGUGGAAGCAUCCCCAUGGCGCUCCUGUCUCACCCCUUCUCAGGAGGCAUCAGGAGAACCAGAAAUGAGGGCAUCCACCAGGGAGGGGAACGCCAUGGGCUUUGUCAUGCGUCCGGACCAUUAGCUGUGAAGCCCUCACGCUGAAGAGUCGGGGCUUGUCCUUGGGCAGGAAGGGGUGCAAGUGAGACUAGGGCUUUGCAGCCAGGCUUUGGGCAGAGGGUACAGGCAGUUCCAGGAGGAACAACUGGGCCAAGCUUCUGGCGCUGCCACAAAAACCUAGGCACCAACGAGGGCUCGAGGCGGGCUCUGGGUGUGAGGAAGAAAGACCCAUGUCUGUCGUCACCUGUGGGGACCCCAGACUCCACAAGGCCCCAGCUUCAGCUGGUGUUGGGAGGGAACGAAGUCCCAUAGGUAAAAGUAUGGGGUCAGACAGCCUGGAUCCAGCCCCAGCUCCAGGACUCGGAGGACUGACUCCUUAGCCACGUUUCCUAAACAACCUGAGCCUCGGCUUCCUCAGCUGUAAGUGGGAUGAUCCGUAAAUCCUCACGUUAUAGGCUCAUUGAGAAGCUUAACUAAGAUGAUGUCUGUGCAGAGCUUAGCACAGUGUUGGGCAUAGAGUAACCCUCAGCUGUUGGCUAGUAGGCAUUGUUAUUGUAGGAGUAAUGGUGGUGGUGGUAGAGGCAGCACUAGUAGUCAUGGUGGUAGUAGCAAUAGUAAUGGUAGUAGCAAUGGUGGCAGUAAUGGUAAUCGUGGUAGCAGUGGUGGUAGUAGUGACAGUAGUAGUAGUGGUGCUGGUGAUAGUGGUGAUGGUGGCAGCAGUGGUUGUGGCAGUAGUGAUGGUGGUAGUAGUAAUAGUGGUGAUAGUAGUGGUAGUAAUAGUGACAUGGGUAGCAGUGGUAGUGAUGUUAGUGGUGGUAGUAGUGAUGGUGGUAGCAGUGGUUGUGGUAGUAGUGAUGGUGGUUGUAGUAGUGAUGGUGGCAGUAGUGGUAGUGAUGGUGGUAGUAGUGAUGGUAGUGAUGGUGGUAGUGGUGGUAGUGAUGGUGGUGAUGGUGGUAGUGGUGGUGGUGAUGGUGGUAGUGGUGGUAGUGGUGAUAGUGAUGGUGGUGAUGGUGGUAGUGAUGGUAGUGGUGGUGGUAGUGGUGGUAUUGGUGAUGGUAGUGAUGGUAGUGAUGGUGGUAGUGGUGGUAGUGAUGGUGGUGAUGGUGGUAGUGGUGGUGGUGAUGGUGGUAGUGGUGGUAGUGGUGAUAGUGAUGGUGGUGAUGGUGGUAGUGAUGGUAGUGGUGGUGGUAGUGGUGGUAUUGGUGAUGGUAGUGAUGGUAGUGAUGGUGGUAGUGGUGGUAGUGAUGGUGGUGAUGGUGGUAGUGGUGGUGGUGAUGGUGGUAGUGGUGGUAGUGGUGAUAGUGAUGGUGGUGAUGGUGGUAGUGAUGGUAGUGGUGGUGGUAGUGGUGGUAUUGGUGAUGGUAGUGAUGGUAGUGAUGGUGGUAGUGGUGGUAGUGAUGGUGGUGAUGGUGGUAGUGGUGGUGGUGAUGGUGGUAGUGGUGGUAUGAUGGUAGUGGUGGUGGUAGUGGUGGUAUUGGUGAUGGUGGUAAUGGCAGUGGCUGUCACGCAGCAGGAGAAGGAGUAAUAAUGGUAAUAGCAGCUCACCUACAUCCCCGGUUCACAUGAAGUGAGGCCCAGAAAGAUAAAGGUAAGAUAUCUAGCAGCUGGGCACAGUGAUUAAGAAGAGGGACCUUGGAGUUCCCGUUGUAGCUCAGAGGUAAUGAACCUGACUGGUAUCCAUGAGGACACAGGUUCAAUCCCUGGCCUUGCUCAGUGGGUUAAGGAUCCAGCAUUGCCACAAGCUGUGUGUAGGUCACAGAUGUGCCUUGGACCCUGCAUUGCUGUGGCUGUGGUGUAGGCUGGCAGCUGCAGCUCCAAUUCGACCCCUAGCCUGGGAACCUCCAUAUGCCUCGGUGCAGCCCUAAAAAAAAAAAAAAGAAGGGCCUUGGAAUCAAGUUACUCCACCCCACAGGACCCAUGAAGGCGCUUGCACAGAGCGCUUCAUGGGCACUUGCUCUCAGGUUGCUGUUUCCGCCUCCGAGGCUGCCGCCCUCAGUGAGGCUGCGGCACAGAGUCCAACUCUCCCUGCUCCCUCCUUGGUCGCCACGUAAUGAACAUGACUUCUCUCUCCUGUCAUCUGGGCCAGACUGCCAGGCUUCAGAGCAGUCCAGAGGGGGCUCCAGACACAGGAUCAGAGGCUCAUCUGACAGUCCCAGGAAGACACCUGAAGGGGCCGGGACCCCGGGCCAGGGGCCAGAGCAGAGGUGGAUUCCCAGAGCUGUGCUGUGAGUGCUGCCCUCGGGAGUGUGCGGUGCAGAGGCUCCGGGGCCAGGUGUGUGCUGCAGACCACAGGGCUGUGGGGCUCCACAGGGUAAGUCAAGGGUGAGCCCACAUAGUGGGGAAUACAGGAAGCUUCCCAAACCCAAGCCGGAAUUUUAUCUGAGAAGUUGUUUUCCAGUUGGAGGCAUUUUUUUUUUUUUUUUUUCUUUUUACAGCUGUACCCACAGCAUAUAGAAGUUUCCAGGCUAGGGGUUGAAUCAGAGCUACAGCUGCUGGCCUCCACCACAGCUACAGCAAUCCUGGAGCCAAGUCGAGUCUGCGACCUACACCAUAGCUCACAGCAACACCUGAGAUCCUGAACCCACUGAGUAAGGCCAGGGAUCGAAUCUGCAUUCUCAUGGAUACUAGUCGGGUCGGUUCGCCACAAUGAGAACUCCAGUUGGAGGCAUUUUUAAAUCUCCUUCCUCCCACUGCCUCCCUCCCCCUGGAAAGGGGCUGCCUGCUCAAGAGGCAGGUUGGGGAAGACGCCUCUGCUCCAGGUUCUGGUGGCCGUGCCCAGCCCAGCUUGGGGGACAGAGAGGGAGAGGGUGUGUGGGGGGGCGGAGGCACUUACGUUUGAUACAGUGGUUGGUACUGUUUGCCGUUGUCCAUCCCGGGCAGCACUGUCCCCCGCAGACAUUCCUCCUGUGGGGUCACCGAAACAGGGUCAGCAUAAGGCUGCUCUGAGCCAAAUUAUUCCCAGAGCCCUACUGAUGGUCCCGCCCACUACAGGCAGGGCCUGGGGGAACUCUGCCAGGCCGGGCUCUGUCCUGCUUCCUGGGGAAGGUUGCAUGGCUCUGGAGGGGAUGGGGGUGGCACUUUGGGAUCCUUCACACCUAAUUAUUUUUCUUCCAUUUUUGGCCACCCCGAGGCAUGCAGAUUUCCCAGGUCAGAUCCAAGCCACAGUUGUGACCUAAGCCUCAGCUGGGGCAAUGCCAGAUCCUUAACCCACUGUGCUGGGCCAGGGAUCGAACCUUCAUCCCAGCGUUCCCAAGGUGCCGCCAAUCCCAUUGUGCCAUAGCAGGAACUCCCCUUCACAUCUAAGAUUGAAUCCUGACUCUGCCGUCCUCUGCCUGACCUUGGGAAGCCUCACUCUUUACAUCUGUACAAUGGAGAUACCAGUACCCGCCUGAAGGAGCUGUUACAAGGAUUGAACGAGAUGGGAAUAUGUAGCACUUGACAUGGAAACAGGCACUCCCCGGGGACAGGGAUCAGGAAGAGGAUCAAAAAGCAGGUUCAAGGUGGUUCCGACACUUGCCAAGGCUAAACAAUAAGAAGUGCCAGAGCCAGAGUCAAACCUGAGUUGGCCCAACUCUAAGUCAUGCUCCAACUCCACAUGGCCUCUCACCAAAAAUAAUCACCAUGGCCCCUGCCAACAAAUGCUGACAAUCCCUGGGAAGCUGGAAAACACACGCACAACCACCUCAAGAACAUACAUAUGCAUCACCUGCCACAAGGGCACCGUGGGAGGGGCCCCAGCCCUCAGGCAGGCUGGUGUGCCGUGAGACUGAGCUCCCCAAGCAAGCGGGGCUCUGGGAUUUCUCUUGAAGAGGAGCUAGCGAGGCAGCAAGCUGGUAGGAAGAUGGGGCCUUGGGUUAAGCUGCCUCUGUGUGGCUAGCAUACUUUUCUCGGGGAGGGCUGAUGGGACUCCCUUGACGGGGACUAGUCCCUCCCCAGCUACAUCUUGGCGCUCACAUCAAGGGCACCCAUGGGAGACACUGACCGGCAGCUGUCACCGGGCCAUCAACCCACUUGGCUCACUCUGCUCUCAGGCCCCUGUAGCACCAGGAGGUUUCACUCCGCCCCUCCCCUGACUCUCAAUCUCAAGAACCAAAUGUCCUGACCCAAGGAACUCCCUAGAAGGGCUCUCCUUGGAGAAGACCUGUCAUUUGCUCUGCCUCCUUGGCUCAGGCUGGGCCUGGCUCUGGCUUCACAGGCCCUGUCAUUACCCUCAGAAAUCUUCCACUAACAGUGAAACUCAGGGUGAACGGGCCAGCAGAAGUACAGACCCAAGAGUCGGGGCAAGUGACAGACCAAGGGGCCAUUGCUGUGACCUCGUGGCCAGCAUAGCGAGCAUCUGGUCCCACUUAGGAGUUUGUUUGACUUUUGUGUGGACCCCGAAGCGUGUGUGGUUUUUGAAACCUUUUGAAAUAUUCAAAAUAAAUUUCUGCAGCUUGAAAAAGCUGGGGCCGAUUCCUGGCCCUUUGGCCCAAAGCUGAGAGGAGCUGCCUCCCAGGUUGCUCCUCCAGGGGCUGUGCCAUUCCGGCCACAUCCAAGUCUCUCUGGUCUGCUGCCGGCAGCAGCUUCCCAGUGCCAUGAAGGUCCCCUCCCCACUGGGGACCAGGACACUGGGUUCUGGGGAGGGGGCUGGUCCUCAGACCCAGGGUCUCUGCGUGUAUGCGCUCGGGCGGGAGGGCGAAACUCCCCACCGUUUGAAAGUCAUUACCCCUUGGGGUGGUGACCAGCCUCUUAGGGGCCUGGGAGGUCUUGGAGAGGAAACUGACAGCACACCCUGGUGGUUUUCUAAGAACCAGGAUCUGGGGGAGCCCAGAGGACACAGACUGAGGGGCCCACCUGGCUGAGAGGGUCACGGCAUGGAGCCCAGCUCGAGGAGGCCCCCGAGCCAGCUGUCAGCCUCAAUGCCCUUAGGAUGGCUAUGUCGCUGACCGUAGGAAGGCAGCAGCUUGGCCUGCCUUGCCUGCCUAUGGCAGAGCCCUCAAGGUCAUCAGAACCAUGGCGGGGACCAAAGGUUGCCGAGAAGCAGGUGGAGCAGCCCCGGACUAAGAGGGUAUUUGAGAGAUACAGGGGUCCAAUCAGAGUCUCGGGUACAGGCUCUGGGAGGUGACCAGAUGGGAGAUGACCAGUCAGUGGACUCUGACCAGCUGGAGAGAGCUAACCAGCCUGACUAGCUGGGGUGAAUGACUCAGUGGUUCUGACUCUCUGGAAGAUACCACUCAGAGAUUAUAUAAGCCCAGCCUUUCAGGCAGCACCACUCGGCAAACACGAGCCCAAUCUCAGUAUCAUUGCCCAGCCCUUGGGGACAUAUGUGGCCCACAGCCUGGGAUGGUUGCUCUUCCAUCUGGAACAAAUCUGAUCAUUCUAGUC